GCCUCCGUGGCUUAGUUGGGAAAGCAACAGACUAUGGUGCGGUAGCAUUCGGAUUCGAGCCCUGGUGAAGGCA